rnacentral:sRNA from 1 species
CCGCCCGUCCUAGGGGAGUAGUCUCCCGUGAGCGCCCGCUCACCCGGCAUGCGUCAACACACUUGCUCCACAGAGCAUGGCGCAUGCGACCUCCGGCCUGCAGCAGGCCUGGGUUUGACAAGACCUAUGACACGCACACCUUACCCGGGGCGGGGAGGUC